AUGCAUCUAGAAGCUGCAUUUCGCAAGUGUCCAAAUCUUUUAUUAGAAUGUUAAUAUUUCGUGAACAUUGCAAUUUAUCAAGACAAGAAACAGCUUGUUACUAAACUACUCCUUUGAGUGAUUCAAUAGGAAGAUAGAGAGAAGAGAUAAAUUGGCACCUUAACAGCUUUUGAAAGAGGAAAGUUAAUUACUAUUGUUAUUGCCAUGAGUGCUACAGGCACAGGCAACAGAAAACGAUCGCGAGAGAGCAGAAAUUGACAAAGAGAACUUAAGCCCAUCCUUGCCCACUAUUCCAGGACCGUCAACUUGCCAGGAAAGAAUUGUAAGUCCAGAAGAAAUUUCGCCAGCGCCAAAAAUUAUUCGAAAAGGCAGCACUCGAAGCCGAAAACGAAUAAAAAGUUCUAUAUUAUCAGUACUGUCGAAUAUCGCGAGAAGUUAGUCGGUAUGCCGAAAAUACAGUUAAAAUACAGACAAUACCAUCUGCGAAACGAGAUCGUGAACGAAAAUCUCCAGCAAUUCAAGUUAUAACAGCUCUAACUCCACGCCACGACCGCGAUUGCUCACGCUCUAGCUCUUCAGCCAUGAAUUUAAAAUUCUUGACUUAAGUGAUUCGGAUGAUGAGUACUGCAAACAGUCAAAAUUAAAUGACGAGUGCAUUUCUUGCGAUGUUCGGUUUGAACUAUCCUCAGAGCUCUGGGUCAAGUGCAUCGUAUACUUACAUUGGGCGCACAUUGACAUUGACUGCGCUGAAAAUAUUGGAUAUAAAUGGAUUUGCGACUUCUGCAAAUAAGUUUUUUCAUUAUAUUUUAUUAUAUUUGUAUUUGAAAAUCAUUAAAUACAGUUUUCCA